AUUUCAAAGUAGCAUAUGGGGUCACAUUUAGCAUCAUUGUCCAUUAAGAUGGGGGUGCCUGGACUCAAUAUACUCUCCUUCUGUUCUCAAUGCAGACCUAACAUUGUUUUUUCAUGUUUGCAUUUUUUUUUCUGAUUUUGUUAUGGUAUGUGGUUUUGGAAGCUCCAAAGCUCAUUCUUGUAGACAUUUCGGUUGUGUUUGUCCUUGUGGGCCUUCAUUCUGGAGCUACUAUAGGUUAUGUUACCACUGACUAUCACCUGACCUCAUCUAUCAAUCAAACAGCACAGCUAGGAAGACAAACCCAUACGGUUAAGUAACUCUGGCAAUUCAUUAAAUAUUCAUUUAAUUCAUUGCUAGCGACAAGUUAUCCAGGAAACCUUUUAAAUCUUAA